rfam:Clostridium sp. CAG:594 genomic scaffold, scf122
GUUUUUACGUAAACGCUGCUAAUUAUUAGUAGAGGAAAGUCCACGCUCACACGGACCUGUAACGGACGUAGUGUUCAUGCAAAGGGAACAAAUAACCUUUGGUAGGAUUUAAUCCUAACGGCGUCGAGGUAGCCUAAGUUUUUAAUAUGGCUAUAUUAGGCAUAAAGUGCCAUAGUGACGAUUUUGCUUGGAAACUUGCAAAGUGGAACGGGUAAACCCCAUGAGUGAGAAACCCAAAAUUGGUAGGGGAACUUCUAUGAAGGAACAAAAACGGAUUAGAAGAUGCUUUUUAAAAGCAUAGAUAAAUGUUUACGACCAGAUAUCUGGUACAGAACGUGGCUUAUUAAA